AGAUGGGCACCAGUGAGUUUCUCCGGAAUCCCGAAUGACAGAUGGGCACCAGUGAGUUUCUCCGGAAUCCCGAAUGACAGAUUCCUGCCUGGGCACAGACGCUACAAGAUGUGGAAUGAGCAUCUAGCCCCGUGAUAGAUCUGAAGUGAGGAUUAUAAGCUGCGAGCCGCUGAGCCGCCAGCCCGGGGAGCAGCAGGUUCAAUAUGUCAGAGCUCCAGCAACUGAGAGGAAAUGAUCAGGGAAACGUAACGGCGAAUGCUUACGACAGAAUGACGUAUCAAAGUCAAAUUUCAUAUUUCGAUAUUUAGAAUACACGAUGGCAUUUACUAAUGGACGCAUCUACGAAGCAUGCAUCAAAUACGCAUGCUAUAGGUAAUACGGAAGGGCGCGAAUGACUGUAACGGUUGGAGCGCAGUACACUUGUAACGUGUUUAUUUAAGAUCCCUUAAUGACGUGUUCGUUCGCAGUUCGGUAGUCCUGAUCCCUUAAUGACGUGUUCGUUCGCAGUUCGGUAGUCCUGGGUCUGAAGCUGAGAAAAUAGCAGAAAAAUGUAAUUUCAGUCAUAAACCUGAAGGAAGGUCACAACUUGUAUAUAUCAAAGGAAUUAAAUGUCAUAAAGGUUUCUGGAGCUGUGAGAACAUUAACGGAUAGAAAAUUUGCAAACUUAUGAUACAAUGCAGUGGAAUCCAGCAUCUAACAACACUAUUCCUGCAAUACUAAAAUUUGUUGCUUUUAUUUCUAUUUUUUACAAAAAAACAAUUUAAGGCUAACCACCAAAUGUAUUAGGGUGCGGAAUUCCAAGAUUUUGGCGCAUUAGCAGUCACAUUUAAAGCGCCACUGUUUAGUAAGGUAAAAGUUGGCUGAUUUUGGCUUACCAAAACAGGGCAGCUGUCAGAAGAUAAUCUACCAGCAGCUGCCAAUCUCAGAAGAACCUCCCGAAUCCCCUGCAUCCUUGUGCCCUCCCCCAGUGCCUGUUGUACAGCCAAUCACUGAUGAUCAGGCAGCCUCGCACCACCACACAUCCGGCGGCUGCUGAGAAGAGCUACCACUGGGGAAAUGCAAAGCCGGAAUUCCUGUGAUGACUAAUUAUUGACAGUCCGAUAAUCAACAGCCAAUAAAUAAAAAAAAUGAUAUUACCGUUA